rnacentral:rRNA from 1 species
UACGUAGGUCCCGAGCGUUGUCCGGAUUUAUUGGGCGUAAAGCGAGCGCAGGCGGUUAGAUAAGUCUGAAGUUAAAGGCAGUGGCUCAACCAUUGUAGGCUUUGGAAACUGUUUAACUUGAGUGCAGAAGGGGAGAGUGGAAUUCCAUGUGUAGCGGUGAAAUGCGUAGAUAUAUGGAGGAACACCGGUGGCGAAAGCGGCUCUCUGGUCUGUAACUGACGCUGAGGCUCGAAAGCGUGGGGAGGGAACAGG